rnacentral:rRNA from 1 species
AUUGAACGCUGGCGGCAGGCCUAACACAUGCAAGUCGAACGAGUGGCGGACGGGUGAGUAAUGUCUGGGAAACUGCCUGAUGGAGGGGGAUAACUACUGGAAACGGUAGCUAAUACCGCAUACCCUCGGAUGUGCCCAGAUGGGAUUAGCUAGUAGGUGGGGUAAAGGCUCACCUAGGCGACGAUCCCUAGCUGGUCUGAGAGGAUGACCAGCAACACGGGAACGGAGACACGGUCAGGACUCCAACGGGAGGCGGAAGUGGGGAACAUUGCACAAUGGGCGAAAGCCUGAUGAAGCCAUGCCGAGUGUAUGAAGAAGGCCUUCGGGUGGUAAAGUACUUUCAGCGGGGAGGCGUUACCCGAAGAAGAAGCACCGGCUAACUCCGGGCCAGCAGCCGCGGUAAUUC